AUUGAACGCUGGCGGCAUGCUUUACACAUGCAAGUCGAACGGUAACAGGGUGCUUGCACCGCUGACGAGUGGCGAACGGGUGAGUAAUGCGUCGGAACGCACCGAGUAAUGGGGGAUAACGCAGCGAAAGCUGUGCUAAUACCGCAUACGCUCUGAGGAGGAAAGCGGGGGACCUUCGGGCCUCGCGUUAUUCGAGCGGCCGACGUCUGAUUAGCUAGUAGGUGAGGUAAGAGCUCACCUAGGCGACGAUCAGUAGCGGGUCUGGGAGGAUGAUCCGCCACACUGGGACUGAGACACGGCCCAGACUCCGACGGGAGGCAGCAGUGGGGAAUUUUGGACAAUGGGCGCAAGCCUGGUCCAGCCAUGCCGCGUGUCUGAAGAAGGCCUUCGGGUUGUAAAGGACUUUUGUCAGGGAGGAAAUCCUUAGCGCUAAUACCGUUGAGGGAUGACAGUACCUGAAGAAUAAGCACCGGCUAACUACGUGCCAGCCGCCGCGGUAA
rnacentral:rRNA from 1 species